rnacentral:rRNA from 1 species
UAGGGAAUUGUUCGCAAUGGGCGCAAGCCUGACGACGCAACGCCGCGUGGAGGAUGAAGACCUUCGGGUCGUAAACUCCUUUCGACCGAGAUGAACAUCCUCUGACCUAAUACGUCGGAGGUCUGACAGUAUCGCGAGAAGAAGCCCCGGCUAACUCCGUGCCAGCAGCCGCGGUAAUACGGGGGGGGCAAGCGUUGUUCGGAAUUACUGGGCGUAAAGGGUUCGUAGGUGGCCAGCUAAGUCAGACGUGAAAUCCCUCAGCUCAACUGGGGAACUGCGUCUGAUACUGGUUGGCUUGAGUGCAGGAGAGGAACGCGGAAUUCCAGGUGUAGCGGUGAAAUGCGUAGAUAUCUGGAGGAACACCGGUGGCGAAGGCGGCGUUCUGGACUGUAACUGACACUGAGGAACGAAAGCCAGGGGAGCAAAC